UGGGCGGUGCUGCUAAGGAUUGAGGUCGAGUGUCAAGCUUGAGCUCUUCAGUCAAUGCUAGAAAUGGACGUUUAGUUAUUGAAUCCCGCUAACGAGGGGAGCCAACAAGAGAGGGAUGUCGGCAUCGGGUGUGCGGUUCCAAGAACUGAUUGGCUGUGGAGAUUAGAAGUUACUAUUAACACGUUUUACACAUGAACAAACCGACACUAAGAGGAACCUUUGCAACGGAAAGCGGCCUCGGGCAGGCGC
rnacentral:lncRNA from 1 species